rnacentral:rRNA from 1 species
UACGAAAGGUGCAAGCGUUACUCGGAAUCACUGGGCGUAAAGCGCACGUAGGCGGACUCGUAGGUCAAUUGUGAAAUACCUGGGCUCAACCCGGGAACUGCAGUUGAAACCGCUUGUCUUGAAUACCUGAGAGGGUGGGGGAAUACCUGGUGGAGAAGUGAAAUUCGUAGAGAUCAGGUGGAACACCGGAGGCGAAGGCGCCUGCCUGGCAGUGUAUUGACGCUGAGGUGCGAAAGCGUGGGGAGCAAACAGG